ensembl:lncRNA
GGCAGAACAGUUGAAACUGGAGCAGCAGCACGGCCAGGUGGACUGGGGACAGCAAGGAGUCAUCAUGUCAGGUAGUCCUGGGGCAUGGUCCUAGGGCUCAGGUCCUCCGAGAGAGAGAAAGAAAGAGAGAAGGAGAGAAUUAGAGAACGCACACUUAGAUUCACACAGGACACCGAAUAGGACAGGAGAAGUACUCCAGAUAUAACAAACUGACCCCAGCCCCCCGACACAAACUACUGCAGCAUAAAUACUGGAGGCUGAGACAGGAGGGGUCAGGAGACACUGUGGCCC